UACGUAGGGGGCAAGCGUUGUCCGGAAUCAUUGGGCGUAAAGCGCGUGUAGGCGGCCCGGUAAGUCCGCUGUGAAAGUCGGGGGCUCAACCCUCGAAUGCCGGUGGAUACUGUCGGGCUAGAGUGCGGAAGAGGCGAGUGGAAUUCCUGGUGUAGCGGUGAAAUGCGCAGAUAUCAGGAGGAACACCAAUUGCGAAGGCAGCUCGCUGGGACGUGACUGACGCUGAGGCGCGAAAGCGUGGGUAGCAAACGGG
rnacentral:rRNA from 1 species